rnacentral:lncRNA from 1 species
GACGUCAUACAUACACUAAUCUAAUUCACAGUGGUUAAACGGCCAUGAACAGGUUGUAAAGUGGAAGAUAUUUUUUAGUUUGUGUACUAUUAAGUAAUAACGAUACAUUAUGUAUUAUUUGACAUCUUCUGGAUAUAUUACAAGUAAAGAAAAUUAUUAUUUAUUAACAACAAUUGAUCAAAGCCAACCGAAAGAUAGGCUUGUUAGGAACCACGUGAGGGAGGAGCUGCAAAAUUCUUCAUAUAUUUGAUACGACAUAUUAGUGCAAUGUCUUCAGUGUGGUUUCCGGCUAGAGGAUUUUCAUGAUGGAUACAGGAAAGACACCUUUUGCCAAGUUAUGGAAAAACUACCAUGUGAUUGAAGGUUACCAAACUACCAUGUGAUUGAAGGAAAUUGACCUGUUCUUAUACGCUCAGCCAUUUCUCUUAUUGGAAGAAGGAAAUAGUACCACUGUUAAAGUAUUUUUGGCAAGUGGAAAAGCAAAAAAUACCUCAGCCUCACCAAAACUAUCCAUACGGUAUUCUGAGUCAGCUUUGACAGUAAACUAAGCCUAAGGACCUGUUAUUGGCUCAUGAACUUAUUCCUCAGCAUCUUUGUUGUGAACAUCCACAUAGGGUUGACCAGAUCAGUCAGUUUACUUGCUUUUAGUAGAAGUCCUGAAUUAUAUUAGUGUUUUGUCAUGUUUAAUAGGUUGGACCACUACACACCCUUUCCCACAAUUGUUGUAAUUGGUAUGUAAGUGUUAUUCAUCUAUAGAAUCAUUUAAUUUAGUUUGAGUUUUUACUUGUUUGUAAGUUACAGCAAUAUGACACUACCCCUACAAUAAUGUAUUAUAAAAUUUCAACAUAAUUUGAACUGUUGGAAUUUUUAGCAAAAUCAUGUAAUGUAAAACUAUUACUAAAUCAUGUAAUGACAACUGUGCCAUGUUACCAGAGUGUAAUAUUGAUUAUCUCUUAAGUUUAAAAGUAAUUUGUUGUGUGAUUAUUCUAAAUUGCCUAACGUAUUGCAGUUUUUACGACUGAUAUAAGACCACUGCUACUAAUUGAAUUAAUAAAUGUUUUAUUGUUUAAGAUUAAAAUAACCUUCAGCUAUUAUAAAGUGUUAUUCAACCACCGCGAAGGGACAACGCUGUUGUCCAUUAUUAGAAGUAUUUCAUUACCUUAUAAUUUGGACACUGUAUUACCAUUUUGGCACAAAAUUAAUAUGAAGCUACUAAUACCAUUAUUUAUUAGACUUUGUAUUGUUGAGAAGUAAAUAAAAUUUCAACUCUUAGACAUUAUAAUUCAACUAACCCUAAGUGAUAAUACUGUACUAUAAUUGUGGAAUAUUAUGUAAAAUCGUUUGAUUAACUUUAUGAAAUUUAGAGGUAAUGUAUGCAAAAUUUGUUCUAAUUUGGCCACUGUUGCCAUUUUUUCCAAAAGAAUUAACUGUACUAUUACUAUCUGUAUUACUAGAUCAUUGUGUAAUAGAUGAUCACAUAUUUCAGCUCAAAUAAACUAGUCAUUAACUAUGUUAAGUGACAAAGCUCUUGUGAAGCAGUUGUCAUGUAAUGUUGUGAGAUCAUUUUGAUUACCUCAUGUGUGGUUUCUAGAUCUAAUAAAGUGUUAUAUCUCUGCUAAAUUGCCUACUGUGUUGGCACCUUUAGCAAAAACAUAAUGUAGAAUUACUAUUACCUCUAUUAGUAGAACAUUCAUUCUAUAAUUGAAGAACACGUAUUUAAACCCAAAUAAACCUUUCCUUAACUAUGUUUAAGUGACAAAGCUCUUGUGAAGCAGUUGUCAUGUAAUGUUGUGAGAUCAUUUUGAUUACCUCAUGUGUGGUUUCUAGAUCUAAUAAAGUGUUAUAUCUCUGCUAAAUUGCCUACUGUGUUGGCGCCUUUAGCAAAAACAUGUAAUGUAGAAUUACCAUUACCUCUAUUAGUAGAACAUUCAUUCCAUAAUUGAAGAACACGUAUUUAAACCCGAAUAAACCUUUCCAUACUAUGUUUAAGUGACAAAGCUCUUGUGAAGCAGUUGUCAUGAAAUGUUGUGAGAUCAUUUUGAUUACCACAUGCGUGGUUUCUAUAUCUAACACAUUGUAAAAUUUGUACUAAAUUGCCUACUGUGUUGGCACCUUUAGACAAAAACAUAAUGUAGAAUUACUAUUACCUCUAUUAGUAGAACAUUCAUUCUAUAAUUGAUGAACACGUAUUUAAAUACGAAUAAACCUUUCAUUAACUAUUAAGUGACAAAGCUCUUGUGAAGCAGUUGUCAUGUAAUGUUGUGAGAUCAUUUUGAUUACCUCAUGUGUGGUUUCUAGAUCUAAUAAAGUGUUAUAUCUCUGCUAAA